rnacentral:lncRNA from 1 species
AUGGGCAUAUUAAUAAUCACAAUCUCCUGCUCUGACCUUGAAUGGAGCCGGGAUGAGGAUAUCCUUCUUGAGGUGCCUUCCCCUUUGUGUACAGGUGGCUGCCUGCGGAAGAAUGUAUUUGCUAUGGCUAUCUGUGCUGUUGGAGAAGCCCUGCAAACACUCCCAGGACUAUCAAUCCAUGCGUCCAAUUUCUUCUCCUUGGGGGUAUUGGGCAAGGUGUGCCAUGAAAUCGCUUCUAACACACACCACCACACACACAAAUGGUGGGAGAGUAUGUGUGGUGUUGUAUGUGAGCAGCUACCCCAUAGCCAGAUGUGCACACCUUGCUGUUUCCCCUUCAGCAUCUUCACCCCAAGUGUAUCAAUCCAGGCUCAGAGUACAGUACAUUCGAUUUUUUCUCUCCUGGAGAGAUCUGCACUUCUAGCCACGAAAUUGCUCUUAACACACACAUACACGCACCAUCCACACACUUACAGUUUCCCCUUCACCCCACCCCCUCCUCAAUUCACUGCUACUGCAGCCGACUUCGCAGGCUUUGCCAUUGAUCGGGCAGGCUUCCCCGGCUGGCUCACCUCCUUGCCUGCUUCAGACUGCAAAGCUCAGCAAGUCUGGCUGCAGGCACUUUGGGAAGGAGUUGGGAUGGAGAGGAGGGGCUUCCACCCUCCUCUUCAAGGGUUGGCUCCUGAACUGCACCAGGGAGGAGGAGGAGGAGGAGGAGGAGGAGGAGGAGGGGGAGGGAGCCCCUGUUCAAUUAAUGCAGGAGCCUGGCGCGUUGAGACACCCUCUCCGCCAAUGGGCUUGGAGCUCUGCAGAAGGCAGCGUCGGACGGGAGCCCUGGAGGGGAGGAGAGGGGAGGGGAAGGGAGGGGAGGGGAGGGGAGAAGCAACUGCAGCAUUUGCAGGGACCGACCUGCCGGCUCCAAGUCUCCAGCCCCAUCUGAGCGCCGGGCUGCAUGUGUGUGUGCCUCUCCAAGCCAGCAAGCACUCAAGUUGUGAUUUCGCACGCCAAGACCUCAAAUUGCUGGUGAGUACCUGUCUUUGA